rnacentral:tRNA from 1 species
UGCCCUCUCGUCCAAUGGCUAGGACACCGGACUUUGGCUCCGGGAAUCCAGGUUCGAAUCCUGGGGGGGCAA